rnacentral:rRNA from 1 species
UACGUAUGGUGCAAGCGUUAUCCGGAUUUACUGGGUGUAAAGGGAGCGUAGGCGGCUCUGCAAGUCAGGUGUGAAAGCCCGGGGCUCAACCCCGGGACUGCACUUGAAACUGUGGAGCUGGAGUACAGGAGAGGCAGGCGGAAUUCCUAGUGUAGCGGUGAAAUGCGUAGAUAUUAGGAAGAACACCGGUGGCGAAGGCGGCCUGCUGGACUGUUACUGACGCUGAGGCUCGAAAGCGUGGGGAGCAAAC